rnacentral:rRNA from 1 species
CAGUCGCCGCGGUAACACGAAGGGGGCUAGCGUUGCUCGGAAUGACUGGGCGUAAAGGGCGCGUAGGCGGUUUGUACAGUUGGAUGUGAAAUUCCUGGGCUUAACCUGGGGGCUGCAUUCAAUACGUGCAGGCUUGAGUGUGGAAGAGGGUCGUGGAAUUCCCAGUGUAGAGGUGAAAUUCGUAGAUAUUGGGAAGAACACCGGUGGCGAAGGCGGCGACCUGGUCCAUUACUGACGCUGAGGCGCGAAAGCGUGGGGAGCAAACAGGAUUAGAGACCCCGGUAGUCCCUGUCUCUUAUAC